CGCGGUAAUUCCAGCUCCAAUAGCGUAUAUUUAAGUUGUUGCAGUUAAAAAGCUCGUAGUUGGAUUUCGGGUGGGUUCCAGCGGUCGGCCUAUGGUCAGUACUGCUGUGGCCCUCCUUUCUGUUCGUAAGGCUCUCCUGGGCUUCACUGUCCGGGAAGUCGUGCGAGCAUUUUUACCUUGAGUAAAUUAGCGUGUUCAAAGCAAGCCUGCGCUCUGAAUACUUUAGCAUGGAAUAUCGCGAUAGGACUCUGGCCUAUCUCGUUGGUCUGUAGGACCGGAGUAAUGAUUAAGAGGGACAGUCGGGGGCAUUCGUAUUUCAUUGUCAGAGGUGAAAUUCUUGGAUUUAUGAAAGACGAACUACUGCGAAAGCAUUUGCCAAGGAUGUUUUCAUUAAUCAAGAACGAAAGUUGGGGGCUCGAAGACGAUUAGAUACCGUCGUAGUCUCAACCAUAAACGAUGCCGACUAGGGAUUGGAGGAUGUUCUUUAGAUGACUUCUCCAGCACCUUAUGAGAAAUCAAAGUUUUUGGGUUCCGGGGGGAGUAUGGUCGCAAGGCUGAAACUUAAAGGAAUUGACGG
rnacentral:rRNA from 1 species